rnacentral:rRNA from 1 species
UACGAAGGGGCGAGCGUUGUUCGGAUUUACUGGGCGUAAAGGGCGCGUAGGCGGCCCUCCUAGUCGCGUGUGAAAGCCCCGGGCUCAACCUGGGAACGGCGCGCGAAACGGGGGGGGCUGGAGUUCGGAGAGGAGCGUGGAAUUCCCAGUGUAGAGGUGGAAAUUCGUAGAUAUUGGGAAGAACACCGGUGGCGAAGGCGGCGCUCUGGACCGAGGACUGACGC